rnacentral:rRNA from 1 species
GUCCUAGCUGUAAACGAUGGGCACUAGGUGUGGGGGGAUCGACCCCUUCCGUGCCGCAGUUAACGCAUUAAGUGCCCCGCCUGGGGAGUACGACCGCAAGGUUGAAACUCAAAGGAAUUGACGGGGGCCCGCACAAGCGGUGGAGCAUGUGGUUUAAUUCGAUGAUACGCGAAGAACCUUACCGGGGCUUGACAUGCAGCAGAACAUUAGUGGAAACACAAAUGGUCCCUCACGGGACUGUUGCACAGGUGCUGCAUGGCUGUCGU